rnacentral:rRNA from 1 species
CUACGGGCGGCUCCAGUGAGGAAUUUUGCGCAAUGGGGGAAACCCUGACGCAGCAACGCCGCGUGAGCGAAGAAGGCCUUCGGGUCGUAAAGCUCUGUCAAGUGGGAAAAAAAUUCUUUGAUGAACAGUCAAAGGACUUGAUGGUACCACUGGAGGAAGCACCGGCUAACUCCGUGCCAGCAGCCGCGGUAAUACGGAGGGUGCAAGCGUUGUUCGGAAUUACUGGGCGUAAAGAGCGUGUAGGCGGUUUGACAAGUCAGAUGUGAAAGCCCCGGGCUCAACCCGGGAAGUGCAUUUGAAACUGGUUCACUAGAGUAUGGGAGAGGAGAUUGGAAUUCCUGGUGUAGAGGUGAAAUUCGUAGAUAUCAGGAGGAACACCCGUGGCGAAGGCGAUUCUCUGGACCAAUACUGACGCUGAGACGCGAAAGCGUGGGGAGCAAACAGGAUUAGAUACCCGUGUAGUC